ensembl:misc_RNA Vault Vault RNA
GGGCUGGCUUUAGCCCUGCGGUUCCUUCGAGUCUGGUUUCCCAACCGCCCAGGCCCAUCGGUCCAGUGGUUAGAGACCCGUGGGCACUCUCCAGUCCUUUG